UUAUGAAUGGCCGCGGUACUUUGACCGUGCUAAGGUAGCGCAAUCAAUUGGCUUUUAAUUGAAGCCACGUAUGAAUGGAAUCACGGGGUUUAACUGUCUCUUAACUAGUUUAUCGAAAUUACUAUUUAGGUGAAAAAGCCUAAAUGAAGAAAAAAGACGAGAAGACCCUUAGAGUUUCUCCUAAUUUAAAAUUAAUUUUUAAAGCAGUUUAGUUGGGGCAACAUAGGAACAACAAUAACCUCCUGUUAAUUACAAACCGAUAGUUAUAAAUAUGAAUAAAUUACCUUAGGGAUAACAGCAUAAUUUUAUAAAUAAGUUUAUGACCUCGAUGUUGGACUAGGAAACUAAUGGGCUAGCCGCCUCUUAGGUAAGUUCUGUUCGAACUGUAUAUUCCU
rnacentral:rRNA from 1 species